CCUACGGGUGGCAGCAGUGAGGAAUAUUGGUCAAUGGGAGGAAUCCUGAACCAGCCAUGCCGCGUGCAGGACGACGGCUCUACGAGUUGUAAACUGCUUUUGUACCGGGGUAAAAUGCUCUACGAGUAGGGUUUUGAAAGUACGGUACGAAUAAGGAUCGGCUAACUCCGUGCCAGCAGCCGCGGUAAUACGGAGGAUCCGAGCGUUAUCCGGAUUCAUUGGGUUUAAAGGGUGCGUAGGUUGUUUUAUAAGUUAGCGGUGAAAUACCGAUGCUCAACAUCGGGGCUGCCGCUGAUACUGUAGGACUAGAGAAGAGUUGCGGUAGGCGGAAUGUAUGGUGUAGCGGUGAAAUGCUUAGAGAUCAUACAGAACACCGAUUGCGAAGGCAGCUUACCAAACUAUAUCUGACGUUGAGGCACGAAAGCGUGGGUAGCAAACAGGAUUAGAUACCCCUGUAGUC
rnacentral:rRNA from 1 species